rnacentral:rRNA from 11 species
GGAUUCUACUAAACAUCCAGGACUCACGAAAUCACAUUUGAACUGGGAAGUUAAGCAGGGUCAGGGCUGGUUAAUACUUGGGAGGGAGACUUACAAGGAAAACAGGGUGCUAUAUGCU